GGUAAAGUGGCUGAGUAAGCAUUAGACUGUAAAUCUAAAGACAAAGGUUAAGUCCUUUUUUUGCCA
rnacentral:tRNA from 1 species